rnacentral:rRNA from 1 species
CCUACGGGUGGCAGCAGUGAGGAAUAUUGGUCAAUGGGCGCGAGCCUGAACCAGCCAAGUAGCGUGAAGGAUGAAUGCCCUACGGGUUGUAAACUUCUUUUAUAAAGGAAUAAAGUGAGGCACGUGUGCCUUUUUUUAUGUACUUUAUGAAUAAGGAUCGGCUAACUCCGUGCCAGCAGCCGCGGUAAUACGGAGGAUCCUAGCGUUAUCCGGAUUUAAUGGGUUUAAAGGGAGCGUAGUUGGGUUGUUAAGUCAGUUGUGAAAGUUUGCGGCUCAACCGUAAAAUUGCAAGUGAUACUGGCAGUCGUGAGUACAGUUGAGGUAGGCGGAAUUCGUGGUGUAGCGGUGAAAUGCUUAGAUAUCACGAAGAACUCCGAUUGCGAAGGCAGCUUACUAAGCUGCCACUGACAUUGAUGCUCGAAAGUGUGGGUAUCAAACAGGAUUAGAUACCCCAGUAGUC